rnacentral:rRNA from 1 species
UACAGAGGUGCCGAGCGUUAGGCGGAAUCACUGGGCUUAAAGCGUGUGUAGGCGGACUUCUAAGUGCCUUGUGAAAUCCCACGGCUCACCCGUGGAACUGCUGGGCAUACUGGGAGUCUUGAGCCACCUAGGGGCGAGCGGAACAAAUGGUGGAGCGGUGAAAUGCGUAGAUAUCAUUUGGAACGCCAACGGAGAAAUCAGCUCGCUGGGGGUGUGCUGACGCUGAGACACGAAAGCCAGGGGAGCGAACGGG